CCUGCGGAAGGAUCAUUGCUUGAUUGUUAUAAAAAUCGGGAUAUUUAGAGAACAUGUAAUCGUGGUUUAUCAAAAUAUAUUCCUAGUGUUUGGUUUGAAUUGAAUUGGCACUAUGGAGUGUAUAGACAAAAAAAAUGGCACGGUACGUGCGAAGGAAUGAUAAGUGAUUAGAAUUCAAUUUGUUUUAGGAUUGACAUUGGGUUUGCUAAUUUCUUGUGAACUCAAAGUCGGACCUGAAUAUGAUUUGAACUAUGAUGCAAAAAGACUCUCGGCAAUGGAUAUCUUGGCUCUUGCAUCGAUGAAGGACGUAGCAAAAUGCGAUACUUGGUGUGAAUUGCACGAUCCCGGGAACCAUCGAGUUUUUGAACGCAAGUGGCGUCCGAGGCCGUAUGGCCAAGGGCACGCUUGCCUGGGCGUCACAAUACUAUGUUUGUUGCUCCAACUCUUGUGAUUGGAUGCGUUAAUAGUGGCCUUCCUUGUGCAUAGUGAUGAAUGGGGUCGGCCGAAAGAGCAUGCAUCGGUCAGCUGUUGGUGUCAAGCGAUGCGGUCAUGUGGUAGAUGUGAUUUUUUACUCUUUUGCGGACCACGUACGUGAUGAAUGCUAGCAUUUCUGGUCGAAUGGCAAGAGAACCCAAUGGAUGGGUAACGGCUUUCUGUGGCUGUAUGUGAUGCGACCCCAGGCCAAGCGUGGCCACCCGCUGAACUUA
rnacentral:rRNA from 1 species